UACGUAGGGUGCAAGCGUUAAUCGGAAUUACUGGGCGUAAAGCGUGCGCAGGCGGUUGUGCAAGACCGAUGUGAAAUCCCCGGGCUUAACCUGGGAAUGGCAUUGGUGACUGCACGGCUAGAGUGUGUCAGAGGGGGGUAGAAUUCCACGUGUAGCAGUGAAAUGCGUAGAGAUGUGGAGGAAUGACCGAUGGCGAAGGCAGCCCCCUGGGAUAACACUGACGCUCAUGCACGAAAGCCGUGGGGAGCAAACAGG
rnacentral:rRNA from 1 species